rnacentral:rRNA from 1 species
UACGUAGGUGACAAGCGUUGUCCGGAUUUACUGGGCGUAAAGAGCGCGCAGGCGGUCGUUCAAGUCGAGUGUGAAAGCCCCCGGCUCCAACUGGGGAGGGUCACUCGAUACUGAUCGACUCGAAGGCAGGAGAGGGUAGUGGAAUUCCCGGUGUAGUGGUGAAAUGCGUAGAUAUCGGGAGGAACACCAGUGGCGAAGGCGACUACCUGGCCUGUUCUUGACGCUGAGGCGCGAAAGCUAGGGGAGCAAAGCGGGG